AGUUCGUUUUCAUUUCAACGUGAACCCGCUAACUAUGAAGGAAAGCUGCAGGGCAGUUCUGAUCAAAGCUCCUAAAUAUUAAAGGGAGAAGAAGAAAAAAACCCCACAGCAGCUCGAGCACUGGGAUGAAAAAUGGGCAGAGGUUUCAACACCAAAAAGGCCAAAGCGGGAGGACACGCAGCGUGGAGCAGAGGAGAAGAAGGGAGCCGGGGAAUCCCUCUGCAUGACCCAGACUGAUGUAAAGGCUUGUGAAACUGAACGGCCGUGUCCUGCAGGAUAAUCCCACCCUACCUGUCGCCACCGCACCUGAACUUUCCCCUGACCCGUGCAGAGUUGAGUGGCAAAUCAGACAUCCAAGCAUCGACUUUGGUAGCAUUUAAAACUCCCCUUUAAUUCCUUAAUUCAACAACAUUCUAGCUCCUUGCCAUUUCCUAAAACUCUUUAAUUGAUCACGAUUUUAAAAAAAAAAUCAAAAUAACACAAAUGUUUCCAGAUGUAUUCCCUACAAAUCAAGCCUCCUUAUCUCUGUCAGCACGGAGAGGAGCUGCAGGCGCAGAGAGCCCCUGGAUGUCGGCCAGACGACUGGCCAUAUCUUCCCACAAUGUUGACACUCGGAGCUCUUAACAGCCAGGCUUGGGUUACCGAGCCUCUCAGCCGAAGAUAACUGCUGCAGCGAGGUUUACAUCGGCCAACAUCAAGACUAAUGCGAAAUUCAACGCCUCGAGCUGAGUGGAGCCAUCUCUAAUUAACCCCAGACAAACACUGCAACCAACGAAGACAGAAGAAGUGUUUGCUUGGAUGUGGUUGAAAUAAAGCAAGUUGGAUUUUCUUGUAA